rnacentral:tRNA from 1 species
GGUCCCAUGGUGUAAUGGUGAGCACUCUGGACUUUGAAUCCAGCGAUCCGAGUUCAUAUCUCGGUGGGACCU